GUCUGAUCAUCAGCAAUGACAGGCAAGGAGAAAGAUGGAAAUGGCUGUUGAAAGGUCUGACACCUAAAACAGAGACAGCCAUCUUGUAAUGAGGAGGAAAACACCAGGAGAACUGCCAAGAUACUGAUCCUGACAUCACUGAGCUGCUGGACCAGCAAGGCUACCUACCUCCAGGAGUCUUGCUUUGUGAGAAAAAGUAACCCACCAUCUGCUAAAGCCACAAACAGAGCCCAGUAGAGUCAUAUAAUAAGGAUACAGACUGGUGAACUCAGGAUCUGAAAAGGAGCCACACUGAACACACAGUUGGUUUUCAACCUUUUCUGUGCCAUGGAUCCCUUCAGCAGUCUGAUAAAGCCUACAGAUCGCCUUUCAGAAGCAAGUUUUUAAAUGCAGUAGUCCCUGGUGGAACCCCUGGAAACCUAGGGGUCUGUGCAGCACUAUUUGAAAACUGCUGGGUUCCAGAAGAAAGACAAUGGUGCCAAAAAUCGUAUCAGCUUCAGGCCCCACAAAGCCUGGAUCCUUCCCUGUCUACCGGCAGAGCAAAUGGGGCAAAGCUACCGUGGAUGGAAGAAUUGAGGAACAGAAAGUACAUAUAGUUAGAAGAAGGGCUAUUUGGUGCCCAGUAAUAAUGAUAUCGAAGAGAUGUCCACCAAACAGACGGAUGAAUACCUCCCGAGUUACGGUACCAAAAUACAUCUAGAACAACUCUGAAGGUGGGCCACAACAGCCAGACGUUUGUUUCCAAGUUACUAUUUUGGUGUCAUCUCCCGGGCAUCUCAGAAAGCUCUCGGCCGAGAUCGAAACAGAAAAAGUUUCAUUAUCCAAAAGGAAAAAUCUAUUCUAUUGUGUGAGCCCAGAGAGAAAAACAGCACGUGAACUCGGGGCUGCCAGGGUGCCCUCGUGCCAGCGGGUUCAAUGGGCAGAAGUGAGAAUGUUAAUAAACACUCUAAUGAAA